rnacentral:rRNA from 1 species
UACGUAGGGUGCGAGCGUUGCUCGGAAUCACUGGGCGUAAAGCGCACGUAGGCGGGUUGCUAAGUCAGGGGUGAAAUCCUGGAGCUCAACUCCAGAACUGCCCUUGAUACUGGCGGCCUUGAGUCCGGGAGAGGUGAGUGGAACUGCGAGUGUAGAGGUGAAAUUCGUAGAUAUUCGCAAGAACACCAGUGGCGAAGGCGGCUCACUGGCCCGGUACUGACGCUGAGGUGGCGAAAGCGUGGGGAGCAACAGG